AGGACCAUUUUCUCAGGCUGCAGGAUGACUUCCUGGUACACCAGCUCUGCUGGACACUGCAGGAACGCCUGAUGGGGGAGGCAGAGGCUAUGUGGGUGACAGCGACAGGCAAAAUGGCAAGUGAAAAAGACUCCAGACAAAAGUCAAACUGGGAGUCUGGCAGCCACAGGCCUUGUGACUUCAAUCUAGGAUUCCUCCCAGUCCAUUUUGCUUCCUCCUUCUGGAACUCACAUCGCUCCUCCUCUGCCUCCUGUGUCAAG